rnacentral:rRNA from 1 species
UACGAAGGGGGCUAGCGUUGCUCGGAAUCACUGGGCGUAAAGGGUGCGUAGGCGGGUCUUUUAAGUCAGGGGUGAAAUCCUGGAGCUCAACUCCAGAACUGCCCUUUGAUACUGAGGAUCUUGAGUUCGGGAGAGGUGAGUGGAACUGCGAGUGUAGAGGUGAAAUUCGUAGAUAUUCGCAAGAACACCAGUGGCGAAGGCGGCUCACUGGCCCGAUACUGACGCUGAGGCACGAAAGCGUGGGGAGCAAACAGG